CAUUUCAAUGAAUGAAUUCCAAGUUACUAAUUGCAAUUCCCAAGAAAAGAGGAUAAAUAUGUUUCUUAGAUUUAAAAGGAAACCCAUUCCUUUGUUCUAUCAAAAAAGUGCCGACUUUUUCCCAAGAAAGAGAAUCCCCAUUUUCUUCCUUCAAGUUUGAGUUUGUAAGAAAUUUCAAAUAAUAGCUGAGAUAUUUUGAAAGAAAAGGUAAAGUUCUUAAUAUUUUUACAUCUAUCUAAUUCUAGCUUGAAGGAAAUUUAUGUUUUGAAUUUUAGGGUUUUCCGAAAAUUUGAGGAUUUUAUGCUAGAGUUCAAGUAUGAUCGUAAUAUUGAGAUAUAGUACGUCUUUGGUGUUCCUAAGCAUGAUUAUGCUGGUUAAUUGUAUUAAUUUUUACUUGAUUUCGAGUUUACUCAAGUUAGUAUGAACCCUAGGUUUGAGGUUGAGAGUUAUGAUUAUGUUCUUGAAUAAUUGGACUCAUAUAUGUGUUCUUGAGUUGGAAUUAUGUCAUAUAUCAAUAAAUUAUGAGUUUACACC
rnacentral:lncRNA from 1 species